rnacentral:rRNA from 1 species
CUGGCUCAGGACGAACGCUGGCGGCGUGCCUAAUACAUGCAAGUCGAACGCGUUUCCGUUAUUGAUUUUAGAUGCUUGCAUUUAAAUGAUUUAACACGAAACGAGUGGCGAACUGGUGAGUAACACGUGGGUAACCUGCCCUUGAAGUAGGGGAUAACACUUGGAAACAGGUGCUAAUACCGUAUAACAACCAAAACCACAUGGUUUUGGUUUAAAAGAUGGCUUCGGCUAUCACUUUAGGAUGGACCCGCGGCGUAUUAGCUUGUUGGUAAGGUAAUGGCCUACCAAGGCAAUGAUACGUAGCCGACCUGAGAGGGUAAUCGGCCACAUUGGGACUGAGACACGGCCCAAACUCCUACGGGAGGCAGCAGUAGGGAAUCUUCCACAAUGGACGAAAGUCUGAUGGAGCAACGCCGCGUGAGUGAUGAAGGGUUUCGGCUCGUAAAACUCUGUUGUUGGAGAAGAACAGGUGUCAGAGUAACUGUUGACAUCUUGACGGUAUCCAACCAGAAAGCCACGGCUAACUACGUGCCAGCAGCCGCGGUAAUACGUAGGUGGCAAGCGUUGUCCGGAUUUAUUGGGCGUAAAGCGAGCGCAGGCGGUUUCUUAGGUCUGAUGUGAAAGCCUUCGGCUUAACCGGAGAAGUGCAUCGGAAACCAGGAGACUUGAGUGCAGAAGAGGACAGUGGAACUCCAUGUGUAGCGGUGAAAUGCGUAGAUAUAUGGAAGAACACCAGUGGCGAAGGCGGCUGUCUGGUCUGUAACUGACGCUGAG